CCAAUAGCGUAUAUUAAAGUUGUUGCAGUUAAAAAGCUCGUAGUUGAAUUUCGGGAUUGGCGCAUCGGUCGUGCCUCACGGGGUAUGAACUGGUGCAGUCAAUUUCUCACCUUCUGGAGAACCGCGAUGUCCUUAAUUGGAUGCCGCGGGGAACCAGGACCUUUACUUUGAAAAAAUUAGAGUGUUUAAAGCAGGCAUUUUUGCUUGAAUACAUUAGCAUGGAAUAAUAAAAUAGGACGGCAUGGUUCUAUUUUGUUGGUUUCUAGGACCACCGUAAUGAUUAAUAGGGAUAGUUGGUGGCAUUAGUAUUAAAUUGUCAGAGGUGAAAUUCUUGGAUUUAUUGAAGACUAACUACUGCGAAAGCAUUUGCCAAGGAUGUUUUCAUUAAUCAAGAACGAAAGUUAGGGGAUCGAAGACGAUCAGAUACCGUCGUAGUCUUAACCAUAAACUAUGCCGACUAGGAAUCAGACGAUGUUAAUUUUUUAAUGACUCGUUUGGCACCUUACG
rnacentral:rRNA from 1 species